rnacentral:rRNA from 1 species
AUUGAACGCUGGCGGCAGGCCUAACACAUGCAAGUCGAGCGGAUGAAGGGAGCUUGCUCCUGGAUUCAGCGGCGGACGGGUGAGUAAUGCCUAGGAAUCUGCCUGGUAGUGGGGGAUAACGUCCGGAAACGGGCGCUAAUACCGCAUACGUCCUGAGGGAGAAAGUGGGGGAUCUUCGGACCUCACGCUAUCAGAUGAGCCUAGGUCGGAUUAGCUAGUUGGUGGGGUAAAGGCCUACCAAGGCGACGAUCCGUAACUGGUCUGAGAGGAUGAUCAGUCACACUGGAACUGAGACACGGUCCAGACUCCUACGGGAGGCACCAGUGGGGAAUAUUGGACAAUGGGCGAAAGCCUGAUCCAGCCAUGCCGCGUGUGUGAAGAAGGUCUUCGGAUUGUAAAGCACUUUAAGUUGGGAGGAAGGGCAGUAAGUUAAUACCUUGCUGUUUUGACGUUACCAACAGAAUAAGCACCGGCUAACUCCGUG